GGGAGUUUAGAUUUUAAAUGCCUUGCAGGUAAAUUAGGGUUUCAGUUAUAUCAGCAGUGGAGAAAUGCACAGAACUGUAGGUAAAAUGUAAAUAAUAUACAUACAAAGGACAGGAAUUUUACAUGCCAUGUCUCAUCAAGGAAAGGAUAUAUCAGACAAAUUCCCCCAUCUCUUACAUGAUAAAAUAUACAUAAAACCAUACUACCAUCUAACCCAGAUCCUUCUCGCCUUGGAUCUUCUUUUCUAAUUAGCUUAUCCCUUGAUGGUGGAUGUUAGACUAGACUCUCAUUAAUAUUUAAUUUAGAAAAAGGGGAAAAAAUCAAAGAAAGUUAAACCAAAAUUCAUUUUAAAUAACAUGAGAGCUUCAAAAAUUGUUUCUCAUUAGAUCCCAGUUAAGCCAGCUAGUUCUUCAGACAACUCCUCCACCAAUAAUCCAAAGAUUCCUAGUUCA
rnacentral:misc_RNA from 1 species